rnacentral:lncRNA from 1 species
UGCAUACAGGAAUAAAACCUUGACUACCCAAUGGUUCCCAAGUGCUUACUCAUAAUCAUCUAAACCCGAAUGAUCCCUAUGUUCUACCCUUAAACAUCAUUCCCAUUUUUUUCCUUUUUCUUGCCUUAGGAGAAGUUUCUUACCAAUACUAGUGGAGAGGGUUUUUUUUUCUUACUAUGGUUCAAUAUCCUUCUUGAGACAUAAGACAUCAAAACUUUUUCUCUUCCUUUUC